AGCUUGAAUUAGAAAUACAUUAAUAUAAAAGUAUCAUAUAUAGAAAUUUUGAGUCAUGUUGCUUGUCAAUUUGUGUUUUUUUCUGCUGAUUUUUAUAGUUCUCUGAAGCUGUCUACAAGAGCUCAACAUUUCCUGUUUUCAAAGCACAUGGGUUGGCCCAGGCAUCAAUAGCUGAUUGUGUAUCAGAAACAUUUUCUGCUAUUCGAACAGUGAGUUCUCCAUGGUUUAUACUUCAAAUUUAUAGUAACUUUGUGCAUUGUAAAGUCUUGUAUUUGUAAUAGACAGUUGAUAACAGUAAAAUAAAUUAUUACAGGUAAGAUCUUUUGGUGGUGAAAAGCGGCAGAUGUUUACAUUUGCUAAACAGGUUCUAUCUUUCCAGUCAAGUGGGAUAAAGCUUGGUACUUUCAAAUCAUUUAAUGAAUCUAUGACCAGGGUUGCUAUUUAUAUCUCUUUGAUUUCAUUAUAUUGUCUUGGAGGGAACAAAGUUAACGUGGUUUAAGGACUGGUUAAUACCUUUGGGGGGUCUCCGAGGAGCUUUUGCAGUCGUUGACAGGAUCAACUCUGUUUUAUCUCGAGUUCAAGUUGAUGAUUCUCUUGCCUAUGGCUUAGAAAGAGAACUAAGGCAACAGAAAGCAGUGAAUGAUGAGAAAUAUAAAUUAUUCUUCUUUAAUAGUUCAACUGAGAAAAACCAAAUGCAUUACAUGUCGGCACUAAAAACAUCUAGCAAUUUGUUUAGCUUGGCUUGGCAAAUAUACACGCUAAGA